AUUGAACGCUGGCGGCAGGCCUAACACAUGCAAGUCGAGCGAGCGGCGGCCGGGGGAGUAAUGUCUGGGAAACAGCCUGAUGUAGGGGGGUAACAACUGGAAACGGUAGCUAAUACCGCAUACCAUCAGAGUGGCCCAAAUGGGAUUGGCUAGUAGGUGGGGUAACGGCUAAACUAGGCGACGUUACCUACCUGGUCUGAGAGGCUGACCCGCAACACUGGAACUGAGACACGGUCCAGACUCCUACGGUGGGCAGCUGUGGGGAAGAUUGCACAAUGGGCGCAAGCCUGAUGCAGCCAUGCCUGUUGUGUGAAAAAGGCCUUCGGGUGGUAAAGCACGUUCAGCGGGGAGGCGUUACCCGCAGAAGAAGCACCGGCUAACUCCGUGCCAGCAGCCGCGGUAAUUC
rnacentral:rRNA from 1 species